AAAAAGGAAUAAAUUUAAAAUUCAAAAACCUGGCAAAAAAAAGGCAAACAAAAAGGAAAUCAAAAAAGGAAAAAAAAGUUCCUCGUUGAAAUCGUCAUAACAUAAAAGAAAUUAAAGGGACAAUAAACCACCCUAAAGCUAUUAAAAGAAAAGGAGCAGCCACAAUUGCAGAAAUCCGUGAACACCAAAUUUGAUACGGAGUAUUCUUCAUAUAUUCAAAAGAUAAAGGGAAAAGGAUUGUAAAGAAGAAGAGUGCAAAAGGGGUUAAUCUAUUCCUCAAGAACAAACGUUGGAUCAAAUGGAUACCAUGAGGAAAUUGAGAUUAUAUUAUUGUGCGGAGAUAAUACUUAGCAAUAAUAAUUCAAAGUUGGACGAGGUCAUCAAAAAGAAAAUAAAAAGGAAAAGGACAAUGCAAAACAAGGAGCUGAUCAUGAGAAGAAGAGAAAGUCUUAGUGUUAACUUCUAGUGUAUUUUUUUUUUUUUAAUUUACUUUGCUUAAUUUCGAACUUUGAUUUUGGGUUAUUUGUUAUCUCAUUUUGUAGGCAACAAUUUAUCUUAUCCUUUUUCAUUAAACUAGCACUUCAAGAUCACGUCCAUUGCGAUGAAAUAGUCAUUUUGUAGCCAGGUUCUUUCUUGGUUUACUAGUAUUAUAAAUGAUCAAAUACAUUUCUUGGAA